rfam:Hydrocarboniphaga daqingensis strain CGMCC 1.7049 genome assembly, contig: Ga0070175_101
GCCGUUCAAUCCCUUGAGAAGCGCCGGUCGUGGCGGCGCGCGCAGGGGACUGCUGGCCAGGAUGGCCAGCAGAGGACGAAAUGAGACAUGGAUGUCGAGUUCGUCCGGCCCCGAGCACGUCGUCACGACCGGGCACCGGCGACAGCCGGCGCUUCUCCAGGGGGUGCUUUCU